UACGUAUGGGGCGAGCGUUGUCCGGAAUGACUGGGCGUAAAGGGCGUGUAGGCGGUCAUUUAAGUCUGGAGUGAAAGUCCUGCAUUCAAUGUGGGAAUUGCUUUGGAUACUGGAUGACUUGAGUGCGGAAGAGGUAAGUGGAAUUCCCAGUGUAGCGGUGAAAUGCGUAGAGAUUGGGAGGAACACCAGUGGCGAAGGCGACUUACUGGGCCGUAACUGACGCUGAGGCGCGAAAGCGUGGGGAGCGAACAGGAUUAGAUACCCCGGUAGU
rnacentral:rRNA from 1 species